rnacentral:rRNA from 1 species
AUUGAACGCUGGCGGCAUGCUUUACACAUGCAAGUAGAACGGCGGCGCGGGCUUCGUCCUGGCGGCGAGUGGCGAACGAGUGAGUAAUUAAUCGGAACGUGCCCAGUAGUGGGGGGUAGCUCGGCGAAAGGCGGAUUAAUACAGCAUACCACCUGAAGGGGAAAGAGAGGGAUCUUCUGAGCUCGCGCCAUUGGAGCCGCCGCGGGCUGAUUAGCCAUUGGAUGGGGUAGAGGCCUACCAAGGCGACCAUCUGUAGCUGGUCUGAGAGGAGGACCAGCCACACUGGACCUGAGACACGGCCCGGACUCCUACGGGAGGCAGCAGUGGGGAAUUUUGGACAUGGGGCGAAAGCCUGACCAAGCAAUGCCGGGUGGGUGAUGAAGGCUUUCGGGUUUUAAAGCACGUUGGGCGGGAACGAAAAGUACUGUGCCAAUACCACGGUUCGAUGACGGUACCCGAAGAAUAAGCACCGGCUAACUACGUG